CCCUUAGAUGUUCUGGGCCGCACGCGUGCUACACUGAGUGGAUCAGCGGGUCAGGUUGCGCGAAAGCGUUUCCUAAUCUUUAAAUCCGCUCGUGAUGGGGAUUGACGGUUGCAAUUUUCUGUCAUGAACGAGGAAUACCUUGUAAGCGCGGGUCAUCAUCCCGCGCUGAAUACGUCCCUGCCCUUUGUACACACCGCCCGUCGCACCUACCGAUUGAAUGGUCCGGUGAAGCCUCGAGAUUGUGGCCAGCUCGCUUUAUUGGGAGUUGGUUGCGAGAACUUGUCUAAACCUUAUCAUUUAGAGGAAGGUGAAGUCGCAACA
rnacentral:rRNA from 1 species